AAUGUGUUCGCACUGCUUGUUCCCAGUUGUUGUGACAAGUCUGGAACAAGUUGUUAUCACCUUGUUACAAGGUUGAUGACGGUAACAGACUUGCUACAAGUUGUUCCAGCGAGACUUAGGCUAUGUGCACACGGGCGUCGUUUUGCAGCGUUUUCAAAAACGUUUUUGUCCGUAAAAUCGUUUUGACGCCGUAUUCGCACAGCCCAAAGGAAAAUAUCUCGGAUAUAUUAAAUAAACUACAACUUCUGUCGUAAAUUGAUAGUGUUUGUAUCCGUUUUAGCGUGAAAACACAAAUGAAAACGCU